rnacentral:snRNA from 1 species
GCUUUUCAACACGGAGAU